rnacentral:rRNA from 1 species
CCUACGGGCGGCAGCAGUAGGGAAUCUUCCACAAUGGACGAAAGCCUGAUGGAGCAACGCCGCGUGGGUGAAGAAGGUCUUCGGAUCGUAAAACCCUGUUGUUAGAGAAGAAAGUGCGUGAGAGUAACUGUUCACGUUUCGACGGUAUCUAACCAGAAAGCCACGUCUAACUACGUGCCAGCAGCCGCGGUAAUACGGAGGUGGCAAGCGUUAUCCGGAGUUAUUGGGCGUAAAGGUAACGCAGGCGGUUUGUUAAGUCUGAUGUGAAAGCCUUCGGCUUAACCGGAGUAGUGCAUUGGAAACUGGGAGACUUGAGUGAAGAAGAGGAGAGUGGAACACCAGGUGUAGCGGUGAAAUGCGUAGAUAUAGGGAAGAACACCAGGGGCGAAGGCGGCUAUCUGGUCUGUAACUGACGCUGAGGUUCGAAAGCGUGGGUAGCAAACAGGAUUAGAUACCCGAGUAGUC